UUUACCUGUCCUUGAGGAAUCUGCUUGAAGUAGGUGAAGUACGAGAUGGACUCUACCACUACCAUCCAACCCCAAUCCCUACACCAACGACCAUGCCAGCUAGUCAAUCUAUAAGCCCCGACCUUUGGCACAUGCGUUUUAGUCACCCAUCUGCAUCUCGAUUGUGUCAGAUAUCAUUCACUCCACAUACUACUUUUCCUUCCUCUUCUUCUUGUGAUAUUUGUCAAAGUGUGAAGCAAACCCGUCGUCCUUUCCCAUUAAGUUACACUCGCAGCGCAUUUCCUUUUGAUUUGAUUCACUGUAACAUUUGGGAAGGUGUCCCGUAUCCGUUACAAUAUAUGCCUGUAAAGGCCGAUACGUAUAGGUAAUGGCCAUGACCGUUACGCGAUAUAGGGGUGAAACUAGACAAUUGGUUUUUUAAGACCGUAUUAGCCGUUAUGGUAGUUGUAAAGGCCGUUACGGGGCAUAACGACCGUUAUUCCUGUAAAAGUCGAAAAACGACCACUUUUUUUUCUAUUUAAAAAAAAUAAAAAAUUGCUUUUCUCAUUCCAAAAACUCUCCUAGGUCAUUUUACAACUGAUUUCGACCACUCUUACUAUAGUUUUUAAUAUUAAAACUGUAGAUUGAAGUGAUUUGAGCUAAUAGAACCUCCAAGGGCCUUUUUUUAAAAAAAUAUUGAAAAAGUAGUACUUAUGCCUUUUUCUGAUUUCUAGUUCUAAUGCUUGAUUGUAAUGUGUAAACAUUAGAGACUUAUAACCAUGUUCACAACUUCACUAGACAGCCCGAUAUAACACUCUCAACAAAGGUGGAUCAUUACACUACCAUAAACAUGUUCAAAACAAAAAAUGAAUACAUAUUUGGAAUAUUUACAUUAUUCCGGAUUUUCUAAAUAUUUUUUCAGAAUUUUUCGAACAAAUCUAAAUUUUCAACCGUUACGGGGUCGUAACGAUUGUUACACCCCCGUAUCGGUAAUGGUGAUGACUGUUAUGGCCACCAUUACGGAUACGGAAUACCUUGGUGAGUACCCACACAAUCUCACACUGGUGCACACUAUUUCCUCACCAUCAUUGAUGAUUAUUCGUUCCAAUGUUUAUGUUUACUUUUCAAAAACUUUUGUGCCAUGGUUAGGACUCAAUUCCAAUCUUAGGUUCACCAAAUUCGCACUCACAAUGGUACCAAGUUUCUUUCCAAUUCAAUGUAAGUUUAUUUUUGAGAAAAUGGCAUGCUUCAUCAACAGACUUGUGUUGAAACCCCACUACAGAAUGGAAUCACCGAAUGUAAACAUCAACGCCUCCUUGAGGUUGCUUGAGCUCCGCCAUUUCAAGCAAUCCUACCUUUAUCAUUUUGAGGAGAAUGCGUCUUAAUUGCUACUUAUCUCAUCAAUCGUAUACCUACUCCUAAUCUAGAUGAUAAAACUCCAUACGAAAUGCUUUUUAGUAGUAAACCAUCUUAUGAUCAUCUUUAGGUUUUUGGAUGUUUGUGCUAUGCCCCCACUCUUACUUCUCAUUGACAUAAGUUUGCUCUACCAAACCUUCCUCAUGAACAAAUGAGUCCAGUGGAGGAAGCAGAUCUGGAAAGGCAAGUAGAUGAGCCUAGAAAGCCUAUAGAUCUAAUUUCCAUGUUAGUCUCAUAUAGGUCAUCAAAGUCUGCAGAUGCAUUUACACGUCAUAUCCAUGAUACUCAUGUUGAAAUUAGAAAACAGAUUAGCAUGAGCAAUGAAAUGUACACGAUAUUCGUUGACUCUCAUCACAGGUUCAGAAAGUUUCAGGUAGGUGACUGUAUGAUGGUUCAUAGAAGGCUUAAACGAUGUCCGCAAGAGACCGUUAAGAAACUACAAGCCCGUAGUGUAGAACCUUAUGAGAUAUUAUGUAAUUUGGGACAUGAUGCAUAUAUUGUAGAUCUUCCACCUGACAUGGGUAUUAAAUCUACAUUCAAUGUGGAAGAUCUUGGAUCUUUUAAGGGGCCAAUAUCUAUACCUACUAGCCUUUAUUCGAUCAUCACCCUGAUCCUGAUGAUAUCCCUCCUCACCUGUUCUAUGACCCUUGGCUUAUAUCUGACUAUUCUUCCUAACAUUUAUCUCUUUUGUCAUACACACCUACCAAGUGAGAAAGGAUAGAGGAUAUCUGGGAUGAGCGAUUGGUUUCCACACGACAUGAAGGUUACGUGGAGUACCUCGUCAAGUGGAAGGGCAAACCAAAGUCACACAAUAUGUGGAUCACAGAGGUGAGCUUCAUCAACGAGACUUGAAUAUCCUCGAGCGUCACCGUAGCUUUAUUCCACCGGAGGCAAAAUCUCUUCAAUCGAGGGGAAUUGAUGAGGACACCCGAGCAACAUACUAAAGGACAAAGUCUAAGCCAAUUUCCUUAUGGCUAGACGACCAUUACAUGGGGCUCACUUGACUCAAUUCACAUUCCUAGCCCCCUACGUGCAUAUUCGUGCAUCUUUGAAGACCUCACACUGGGAAAAUGCACGUGGGCUGCAGAUAGGAGCUUGAUAUACACAUCGAACCAUUGGAUCGAGCGGACACGAUGAUUGGAUUGUUGGAUUUCGACCGUGGAUCAUUCUGAUGGUUGGAUCAUCAUUGGACAUCUUGAUCAUGGACCCCCAUGUGCCACGAAAUAGUUUGUUGUUUAGUUUUUUUUACAUGUUUCGUUAUUUUUAUAUAGCUCAUAGUUGUGGUAAGAUUAGGGAGUUGGGAACAACAUUUAAUUCAUUAAGUGUCUUUAUGUUAAGAAUCUUAUUUGAGAGCACCUUUUUGUAAAAGAUCUUUUCUAAGACUAUAAAGGGCUGGACGUCUCCACCCUAGCCAUUAUGUAUGAUAUGAAUGAAAGAGAUUUCUCUCCAUUUGCUUUGAGAUUGAACAAAAAUAAAUAAAUCAUGUGAUUGGAUUGGUGGUGCGAAACUACGGGAAGCGAUUCCCUAGUUAUCUUUUCUACUUUUCUCUCUUCUCAACAAUGUAUCAUCUUCUCUCAUCUUCUUCUUUUCUUCCUUCUCCAUUCUCUUCUUUCUUCUUCUUCUUCUUCGUCUUUUUUUUUUUUUCCUGUUCUUUUAAACCUAACACUAAAUAUCUAAAACUCUAAUCCUAAUCUCUCCAAAACCCUAAUCCUAAAAUUCCUAAAUUUCAAAAUCCCCAAUUUUUCCAAACCCAAAUCCCCAAAAUCUGAAAUCCCUUUACCAAAUCAUAAAUCCCUAAUUCCGAUAACCUAAAACCCAUAUUCCCAAUUCUAGAAAUCCUAAAUCCUUAAACCUAAAAUCUGACAUUCUAAUCCAAAACCUCAACCCUAAUCUUCCGAACCCUAAUUCCUCUAAGCCUAGAUACCCCAAACCCAUUUCCCAUAUUCCCUAGCCUUUAAACAGCUAUAACACAUCAAAAGUCUUACAAGACACAUGAUUUCCAUUGAAUUCAGAUCUAACCCUAUACUAGGACGGAGGGUUCUAUCUCUCAUAGGUCCCGGUUAAUGAAUAAUUUAUGAGAUUCGCAUGGCAGGCCUGCCAUAGUCUUGAAUUUGGACAUGUCAUGAAUACGAAAUUUCUGAAUUUAUAGUAAAUUAGUUUUAUUUUGUUGUUCCAUUGCUCUAGUUAAUCUGUCUUUUAAUUUCACGGUAUCAUAUUAGGUUAGAUCAUUCCACCCUGCAUCAAUGGGAGUUGAACUCUAUGAGAUCUAAUCCCCCAUUGCUCCUCAGCAUAUCAGUAGUGUAAAGCAGUUGUCUCUCACUUGACUGGCGAUAUGUUCGAAUCCUACUCAAGGAGAUUUGAUGAAUUCUUAUCAGUUACUGAUGAAGAGGAUUGGUGGCAAGAAAACGUCGGUGCAGCAUAAGCCAAAGUAGGAGCAGGAGCUCUCGAAGAUGCUAACCAUGCUCCCGAUCUCCUAGGGUCAGACACUGUUCCAGAUACUGUGAUGUUUCAACCUGUGGGAGGGUGGAGCAUGCUGGAUUCUGAUAUCUUGAGAAGCAUGGAGUUUCUUCAGAUUUGAAGGUAGGACAUCUCCCAGUGUCUCCAAGGUGAUGAUGACGGUCCACUUGCAGCCAUGACACAGGUUUAAUAGCUAUACCACAGGAAGUCAAAAACAAACAGACUCUUCUCAGAAAUCGGGUGCAGGCGGAUCGUAAAGAAAUGACAUUGAUUACGAUGAAACCUCUCUCUAGUGGUAGAACUCAUGAGUGUCAAAGUCAUUCUUGCUUAAAAUAAGUUAUUAUGAUUGUUGGUUGAUAUUAGAUGCAUUAUGUUACUUUCUCAAAUGAAAUGUAAAAGAUGGCAUGUGCAGGAAUUGACUACAGCGGUACCCCACGAAGGGGAGGAAUUAUGCAGUGCUUGAGCUGA